rnacentral:rRNA from 1 species
UACGUAGGGGGCAAGCGUUGUCCGGAUUUAUUGGGCGUAAAGAGCGUGUAGGCGGCCAGACAGGUCCGUUGUGAAAACUCGAGGCUCAACCUCGAGAUGUCGAUGGAAACCGUCUGGCUAGAGUCCGGAAGAGGAGUGGUGGAAUUCCUGGUGUAGCGGUGAAAUGCGCAGAUAUCAGGAAGAACACCUAUGGCGAAGGCAGCACUCUGGGACGGUACUGACGCUGAGACGCGAAAGCGUGGGGAGCGAACAGG